UUUAUACUCCCUUCGUUUCAAAAUUCUUGUCUUAGAUUCGUCUAGAUACGGAUGUAUCUAAUACUAAAACAUGACUUGAUACAUCUGUAUUUAGAUAAAUCUAAGACAAGAAUUUUGGGACGGAGAGAGUACUAU
rnacentral:pre_miRNA from 1 species